rnacentral:rRNA from 1 species
UAGCAAAGCUAUGGAGACAUAGUGGAGGUUAUCAGGGAGACAGGUGGUGCAUGGUUGUCGUCAGCUCGUGUCGUGAGAUGUUGGGUUAAGUCCCGCAACGAGCGCAACCCUUAUUGCUAGUUACCAUCAUUGAGUUGGGGACUCUAGCGAGACUGCCAGUGAUAAACUGGAGGAAGGUGGGGAUGACGUCAAAUCAUCAUGCCCCUUAUGUCUAGGGCUACACACGUGCUACAAUGGUGAGGACAAAGAGACGCAAGACCGCGAGGUGGAGCAAAUCUCACAAACCUCAUCCCAGUUCGGAUUGCAGGCUGAAACUCGCCUGCAUGAAGCCGGAGUUGCUAGUAAUCGCGAAUCAGCAUGUCGCGGUGAAUACGUUCCCGGGCCUU